AGAUUGAACGCUGGCGGCAUGCCUUACACAUGCAAGUCGAACGGCAGCACGGGAGCAAUCCUGGUGGCGAGUGGCGAACGGGUGAGUAAUACAUCGGAACGUGCCCAAUCGUGGGGGAUAACGCAGCGAAAGCUGUGCUAAUACCGCAUAAGAUCUACGGAUGAAAGCAGGGGAUCGCAAGACCUUGCGCGAAUGGAGCGGCCGAUGGCAGAUUAGGUAGUUGGUGAGGUAAGGCUCACCAAGCCUUCGAUCUGUAGCUGGUCUGAGAGGACGACCAGCCACACUGGGACUGAGACACGGCCCAGACUACCGUACGGGAGCGAGCAGGUGGGGAAUUUUGGACAAGUGGGACGAAGCCUGACUCCGAGCCAUCGCCGCGUCGGUCAGGA
rnacentral:rRNA from 1 species